GACGAACGCUGGCGGCGUGCUUAACACAUGCAAGUCGCACGAAGUGGCGAACGGGUGAGUAACGCGUAAUCAAACUGCCCUUCAGAGGGGGACAACAGUUGGAAACAACUGCUAAUACCGCAUACUGAAGGAGGGGAUUGCGUCGGAUUAGCUAGUUGGAGGGGUAACGGCCCACCAAGGCGAUGAUCAGUAGCCGGUAUGAGAGGAUGAACGGACACAUUGGGCCUGAGAAACGGCCCAGACUCCUACGGGAGGAAGCAGUGGGGAAUCGUCCGCAAUGGACGAAAGUCUGACGAAGCAACGCCGCGGGAGGGAGGACGGCCUUCGGGUUGUAAAGCUCUGUUAAUCGGGACGAGGUACCGGAAUAGAAAGCCACGGCUAACUACGUGCCAGCAGCCGCGGUAAUUC
rnacentral:rRNA from 1 species